CCUACGGGAGGCAGCAGUGAGGAAUAUUGCUCAAUGGGCGCGAGCCUGAACCAGCCAAGUAGCGUGAAGGAUGACUGCCCUACGGUUUGUAAACUUCUUUUAUAAAGGAAUAAACUGAGGCACUUGUUCCUUUUUGUAUGUACUUUAUGAAUAAGGAUCGCCUAACUCCGCGCCAGCAGCCGCGGUAAUACGGAGGAUCCGAGCGUUAUCCGGAUUGAUUGGGUUUAACGGAAUCGUAGGCGUGUUGUUAAGUCAGAUGUGAAAGUUUGCGGCUCAACCGUAAAAUUGCAAUUGAUACUGGCAGUCUAGAGUACGGUAGAGGUAGGUGGAAUUCGUGGUGUAGCGGUAAAAUCCUUAGAGAUCAAGAAGAACACUGAUUGCGAAGGCAGCUUACUAGA
rnacentral:rRNA from 1 species